GUGGGGAAUAUUGCGCAAUGGGCGAAAGCCUGACGCAGCCACGCCGUGUGUGUGAUGAAGGCCUUCGGGUCGUAAAGCACUGUCAGGAGGAGAGAUGGCUUCGGUAGUUAAUAACUGCCGGAGUUGACGGUACCUCCAAAGGAAGCACCGGCUAACUCUGUGCCAGCAGCCGCGGUAAGACAGAGGGUGCAAGCGUUGUUCGGAAUCAUUGGGCGUAAAGCGCACGUAGGCGGUUUUGUAAGUCGGGUGUGAAAGCCCAGGGCUCAACCCUGGAAGUGCAUCCGAAACUGCAUGACUUGAGUCCCGGAGAGGGUGGUGGAAUUCCUGGUGUAGAGGUGAAAUUCGUAGAUAUCAGGAGGAACACCGGUGGCGAAGGCGACCACCUGGACGGAGACUGACGCUGAGGUGCGAAAGCGUGGGGAGCAAACAGG
rnacentral:rRNA from 1 species